GCCGGAGAACAUAAUAAGAGCUGCGUCCAAGGACAGACACCUUGCGAAGAUUUUUUCAUCCCCGUGAGUAAGGAAGAGGAAGAACAGCAAACAAGCAAGCUACAAUAAAGGCAUCCAUCGAGAAAGACAUGAGCCUUCCAGCCACACCAAGACUCAUAAUGCUUGGUCACAAUUUUUCUCUUCCACAAAGUGGAUGGUAAGCAUUGAGGGAAAGGUGGCCUAUGUUUUGGAUGAGCACCUGGGAUGAGCAGAUGCCUUUCUGUAUUCUUCAUCUUCUACGUUUUCAACAUUGAAUACAAGGGGAGACUGCCUGUGCAACACUGGAACUCAUAAAACAGUUUUUCUUGAGGAUAAACCCAGAGGAGGGAACAAAAUGCACCGCCAAAACCGGAGUGAGUCGGAAGACAGGGGAAGUUGUGAAGAGAAAGACAACAGUAAUAAACAACCGUGUCAUCCUUUCUUCGCCACCUAAUGGAGUUUGAGUGGAGAAACUCGGACUAGAGGGACUUCUGACAGAUUCCUUGACAUAAUGAAGAAUAUUCCUGGUUGUUUCAAGUCAUCAAAUGUGCCAGGUUUAUUGACUUCCAAAGAAGAUGAAAAACUUGAGUACUUAUCUACUUUCACAAUUUAUUGGCUUUGGACAUUUAGGUUUUAGUCAAGUAUAUGAGUAUUUUACACCAAAUUUACAGUAUUUUUAAGUGACAUAUUUCUCAUGUAUUUUCCUAUGAAUUUAAUACUUUAAUGCACAUUCAAUAAUAUGUUAUUUUGUCAAUUCUUUAAUUUAUUCCUUGUUAAUGGAUGUAAAUGUUAAAUCCAGUAUACAGACAAAGGACAAAAAAAUGUUGCACUGUCCCAGCAUUGUAUCUUUAACGACAGUUCUUUAUGCAUAGUCCAGAUACUUUGUUUU